CAGAGUAGCUCAGUUGGUUAGAACAUGGCGCUGAUAAUGCCAAGGUUGCAGGUUUGAUCUCUAUGGGAAUGU